rnacentral:rRNA from 1 species
AGUGAACGCUGGCGGUAGGCCUAACACAUGCAAGUCGAACGGCAGCACAGUAAGAGCUUGCUCUUACGGGUGGCGAGUGGCGGACGGGUGAGGAAUACAUCGGAAUCUACUUUUUCGCGGGGGAUAACGUAGGGAAACUUACGCUAAUACCGCAUACGACCUACGGGUGAAAGCAGGGGAUCUUCGGACCUUGCGCGAUUGAAUGAGCCGAUGUCGGAUUAACUAGUUGGCGGGGUAAAGGCCCACCAAGGCGACGAUCCGUAGCUGGUCUGAGAGGAUGAUCAGCCACACUGGAACUGAGACACGGUCCAGACUCCUACGGGAGGCAGCAGUGGGGAAUAUUGGACAAUGGGCGCAAGCCUGAUCCAGCCAUACCGCGUGGGUGAAGAAGGCCUUCGGGUUGUAAAGCCCUUUUGUCGGGAAAGAAAAGCAGCAGGUUAAUACCCCGCUGUUCUGACGGUACCCAAAGAAUAAGCACCGGCUAACUUCGUG